AGAUAAGUGUUUUUUUGUUUUGUUUUGUUUUUACUUAUAGUGUUCUGCUUAUCCAUGGUUUCCUCUUUCUCCCUAACCAUCGUAGCUGCAUGUCUAAAGCAUAAUUACUAGGAAGAAAUAAAACUAAUGCUAGCAUGACAUUUGGGGAAACAAAAGGACUGCAGCUGUUCAAUACCAGACCACCCGAGCCACCAAGUGAAAAAUCAAGGAAGGCUUCCCAGAGAGGCUGAUUUUCUAGAAAAGAGUUAAAUUGCUAAUUGGCACAAACACAUUGACUCAGGACCUUUAAUGCUGUGCUUUGCUGUCGGAGGUGACACCAUUAAGGAGUGGCAUGCAGGUUAGCAGUUUGCCACUGGAACCGGAAGGAUUCUGUGAAUAAUAAAAGGAGAACAGGGAGUGGAAGAUCAGUGAGCCAACUGAAGAACUGUGGUCCCCACUGUAUGUGAGGACAACUUCCACC